GGUCUGGUGGCAUAGUUGGUUCGCGCGUCGUACUAAUAAGUUGUGUAACUCAACUACAAGUAAUGCGAAGGUCGAGGGUUCAAGCCCCUCCUGGACCA
rfam:Tolypocladium ophioglossoides CBS 100239 scaffold_6, whole genome shotgun sequence.